GCACAUAAAAAUACAGUAAGGAAAUAAGUAGUUGAAACAAAAUUCAUCUAACAGAAGGUAAAAUUCACACUAUUUAAAGAAAGAUACUUAUCUCUAAUAGCAAAAUAGACGGCGUUUAUAAGACUUACAUAGAUGAAGCUGGUUUCCUUUGUUUGAUUCCCAUCGUCCAACACUGUAAUCAUCCAAUUCACAGCAAACUUAGUCACCAAUGCAUAUAAAUUAUUUUGAUGAUUAGUUAUGUACUAACUUUUAUGCAUACAAAUUUGAUGAUUUAAAAGCUAUAGAAAUACAAAUUUUGUAAACAUCCAAUUGAGAGAAAUGGUAAAACCCAAUGUCAACUUCACUUACUAUAUAAUUAUAAUUAAGUGACCACUUCAAUUUUACACACAGAUUCUUUUACACACAGAUUCUAAUGGUUUAAAAAAAUUCUAAUGAUUUAAAAAAAUUAAAUAAAUAGAAAUUUAGCUGAACUCUUGUAUCCUUCCUUAUCUAAACAUUCAAGUGCAUUUCAUUAGCAAUAGAGAAUCAAGCCUGUCUGUGUGAAUAGUAUACAUGAAAAGUGUUUAGUGUUUGUGAUAUGGAUUGAGUAAUUGGUCGAUUGAUGGAUAAGGACUAGGGAUUGUCCUUACGUCAGUGACCUAUAGUGGUGAUAUGGUGGGACAUUUCACGGGGUCCCGGGCCUCCUUGUAUUGGUUAAUUUGAGUAAACCAACAAACUCUCAAAUCAACACAAAGUUGUAAACAAAUUCAUGAGAUACUUUCACUCAAGUUCUCCUGCUAAUUUAUAGCCAUUACAAUAGAUCCCUUCAUGAAAAUGAAAAUUACAAUGCCAAUCUUUGUUGGAAAUAAAAGAGCAAUAUGGAAAAGCAAAAUUACAAGACCAAUCUUGAUUGGAAAUAAAAGAGCAACAAUGAAAUAAGGAAAUUAGAUAAAUAUCUUGACUAAUGUUUCUCUAAACAUCCGUUACAAAAAGAUUAAGAAGAAAAAAGCUAAAUUAAAUGUCUGUACGUAUGAAUAGUAGACAUGAAAAAAGCAAAACACAGUUUGAGCCCUUUUUUUUUUUUUUAAUUUGAUUGAAGAAAAGACUAUAAAAGAAACCUUGUGAAAAACUAACACCAAGAAUUGAUUGAAAUAUAGAUCAUAAACUGAAUAAAAAUAUAUAUAUAUAUGGGCAGGGCUAAAUUUCUACCAAUACAUGUUGACAAACAAAUACACAUGCAAUCACAAGAGCAGCUAAAGGGCCUCCACAUACUCACCGCAAUUCUUCAGUAUGUUCCCAAUUACAUUGCCCACCGUGCCUCUUCUUGUUGGUUUUCCUUAUCCGUUGCGCUUUUGUAAGUAGGGUUUA
rnacentral:lncRNA from 1 species